rnacentral:rRNA from 1 species
CAGAUAUAUUCGGCAGUCAGACUGUGGGUGAUAAGGUCCAUGGUCAAAAGGGAAACAGCCCAGAUCACCAGCUAAGGUCCCAAAAUGUAUGCUAAGUGGAAAACGAUGUGGGGAUGCACAGACAACUAGGAGGUUGGCUCAGAAGCAGCCAUCCUUUAAAGAGUGCGUAACAGCUCACUAGUCGAGUGACCCUGCGCGGAAAAUGUACCGGGGCUAAGCAUACUACCGAAGCUGUGGAUUCGUAUCUAUUAGAUAUGAGUGGUAGAGGAGCGUUCCAUUCGUCGUUGAAGCUGUACCGUAAGGAGCAGUGGAGAGUAUGGAAGUGAGAAUGCCGGUGUGAGUAGCGAGAUGUAGGUGAGAAUCCUACACACCGAUAGCCUAAGGUUUCCAGGGGAAGGUUCGUCCGCCCUGGGUAAGUCAGGACCUAAGAUGAGGCCGAAAGGCGUAGUCGAUGGACAACAGGUUGAUAUUCCUGUACCCGCGUAAAAAUGAUGGAGUGACGGAGACGGUUAGUAUAUGCCACUUAAUGGAUUGUGGUCUAAGCGAGGUAGCUUGUAUGUAGGAAAAUCCGCAUACUAUAAGGCGAAGGCGUGAUGGGGAAGCGAAAGCAUUCGUGCGAGUAGUGAAGUAUAUGAUACCGGCUUCCAAGAAAAGCUUCUAGUAUUAAUUUUAUGACGGCCUGUACCGAAACCGACACAGGUGGGCAAGGCGAGAAGCCUGAGGUGAGCGAGAGAACUGUUGCCAAGGAACUCGGCAAAAUGGUCCCGUACGUUCGCAAGAAGGGACGCUCUAUAAAUAGAGCCGCAGUGAAUAGGCCCAAGCGACUGUUUAUCUAAAACACAGCUCUCUGCUAAGUUGAAAGACGACGUAUAGGGGGUGACUCCUGCCCGGUGCUGGAAGGUUAAGGGAAUCUGUUAGAGCUAGACUCGAAGCAGUGCACUGAAGCCCCAGUGAACGGCGGCCGUAACUAUAACGGUCCUAAGGUAGCGAAAUUCCUUGUCAGGUAAGUUCUGACCCGCACGAAAGGAGUAACGAUUUGGGCGCUGUCUCGGCAGCAGACUCGGUGAAAUCUUAGUACCUGUGAAAAUGCAGGUUACCCGCAACUAGACGGAAAGACCCCAUGGAGCUUUACUGUAGCUUGAUAUUGAGUUUUGAUUAAACAUGUACAGGAUAGGUGGGAGACG